rnacentral:rRNA from 1 species
GCCUACGGGGGGCAGCAGUAGGGAAUUUUCGUCAAUGGGCGCAAGCCUGAACGAGCAAUGCCGCGUGAACGAGGAAGGUCUUCGGAUCGUAAAGUUCUGUUGACGGGGAAAAAAGACCGGGAAAGGAAAUGAUCCCGGAGGAGAUAUUACCCGUCGAGGAAGUCACGGCUAACUACGUGCCAGCAGCCGCGGUAAUACGUAGGUGGCGAGCGUUAUCCGGAAUGAUUGGGCGUAAAGGGUGCGUAGGCGGGACUGCAAGUCAGAUGUGAAAACCACGGGCUCAACCUGUGGCCUGCAUUUGAAAA